UCAGUUCUACUAUUAUUUAUUUUUUUAAAUAUUUUUGAAAAAAUAUAAUUUUUUACAAUAUUUUCAACUUAAACACUAUUCACACUGAACACGUAUGGCAGCUUAACCUACCCAAAUAUGAAGUUUAAGAAGCCAAAACUGUUCUAGCUUUGUUAAAAGAAAAGUUGUGCUGCAGACUCUUGUGAUGGUUAACAAAGCAAGGAAAAGCACCACUCAAAUCAUAAUGUUACAGUAUCUUUGUUCAGCUGGAUUACGGGUUGGUGUUGGUCAUAUGUUAGACUCCAUACAGGCAUAGCUAUGAUGCAGUGAAUCCCUUAGAAGUUACAAUUCUCAAAUUACAUACUUCCUCAGAUGUAACAUUAGAACUCAAUAUUUCUAACAAUAACAUACCAGAAAAGGCUGGACUGGUACUCAUCUGCUGACUAACUUGUAGCCUCAGUAAUAUGACACACUUGUCUUUAACAAAUUAUCUCAAAUUAACGAACAGACCUUCAGAAAACGGAGAUUCUUUUUGAUGCGGACAUAAUCCAAUUUAAGUCUGAGAAAUAUGCUUAACAGCUGGAACUCAAAUGUACUGAUUUUAAAGUUUAGACAUUAACAAGUGAUAGAUUAGCCUCAAAAAAAGACAAUUUAGUAAGCUCAUUAAACUGGUCUUGGAUUUGGUCC
rnacentral:antisense_RNA from 1 species